rnacentral:tRNA from 1 species
GGGCCGGUGGUCUAGGGGUUAUGACGUCGCGCUUACAACGCGGAGGUCCCCGGUUCAAAUCCGGGUCGGCCCACUA